rnacentral:rRNA from 1 species
CUACGGGCCGCAGCAGUGGGGAAUAUUGCACAAUGGGCGCAAGCCUGAUGCAGCAACGCCGCGUGGGGGACGACGGCCUUCGGGUUGUAAACCUCUUUUAGUAGGGAAGAAGCGCAAGUGACGGUACCUACAGAAAAAGCACCGGCUAACUACGUGCCAGCAGCCGCGGUAAUACGUAGGGUGCAAGCGUUGUCCGGAAUUAUUGGGCGUAAAGAGCUCGUAGGCGGUUUGUCGCGUCUGCUGUGAAAAUCCGAGGCUCAACCUCGGACCUGCAGUGGGUACGGGCAAACUAGAGUGCGGUAGGGGAGAUUGGAAUUCCUGGUGUAGCGGUGGAAUGCGCAGAUAUCAGGAGGAACACCAAUGGCGAAGGCAGAUCUCUGGGCCGUAACUGACGCUGAGGAGCGAAAGCGUGGGGAGCGAACAGGAUUAGAUACCCGCGUAGUC